CAAGUCGAGGGGCAGCGCGAUGUAGCAAUACAUUGGCGGCGACCGGCGCACGGGUGCGUAACACGUAUGCAACCUUCCCGCCACUGGGGGAUAGCCCGGAGAAAUCCGGAUUAACACCCCAUAACACCCUGAGGGGCAUCCCUUGGGGUUGAAAACUCCGGUGGUGGCGGAUGGGCAUGCGCACGAUUAGCUAGUUGGUGAGGUAACGGCUCACCAAGGCUACGAUCGUUAGGGGGCCUGAGAGGGUUAUCCCCCACACUGGUACUGAGACACGGACCAGACUCCUACGGGAGGCAGCAGUGAGGAAUAUUGCGCAAUGGAGGCAACUCUGACGCAGCCAUGCCGCGUGCAGGAAGAAGGCCCUACGGGUCGUAAACUGCUUUUAUCCGGGAAGAACUCCCCCGACGUGUCGGGGGUUGACGGUACCGGAGGAAUAAGCACCGGCUAACUCCGUGCCAGCAGCCGCGGUAAUACGGAGGGUGCAAGCGUUAUCCGGAUUCAUUGGGUUUAAAGGGUGCGUAGGCGGGGCGAUAAGUCAGUGGUGAAAUCCUGCAGCCUAACUGUAGAACUGCCAUUGAUACUGUCGUCCUUGAAUGCGCUCGACGUGGGCGGAAUGUGCCGUGUAGCGGUGAAAUGCUUAGAUAUGGCACAGAACACCGAUAGUGAAGACAGCUCACGAGGGCGUUAUUGACGCUGAGGCACGAAAGCGUGGGGAUCGAACAGGAUUAGAUACCCUGGUAGUCCACGCUGUAAACGAUGAUCACUCGAGAUCGGCGAUACACGGUCGGUCUCCUAGCGAAAGCGUUAAGUGAUCCACCUGGGGAGUACGAUCGCAAGAUUGAAACUCAAAGGAAUUGACGGGGGCCCGCACAAGCGGUGGA
rnacentral:rRNA from 1 species